rnacentral:RNase_P_RNA from 1 species
AGAGUUGACCAGGCAAUCGCUAUUACUUUGUAUAAAAGAAUAAUAGAGGAAAGUCCGGGCUCCUUCGAACAAAGUGCCAGGUAAUACCUGGAGAGUGCAAACUCAUGGAAAGUGCCGCAGAAAAUAUACCGCCUAAGCAUUUUAUGCCGGUAAGGUUGAAAAGGUGUGGUAAGAGCGCACCGCUUAAAUGGUAACAUUUAUGGCUUUGUAAACCCCAUCGAGAGCAAGACUAAAUAUAGGAGUAAUGAUUUCCCGUAAUCACUCCAGGGUAAGUUGCUAGAGGUACUUGGUGACAAGUAUCCCAGAUGAAUGAUUGUCCAUGACAGAACCCGGCUUACCGGUCAACUCCAUUU